AUUUUAGACAUCCGGUCUUAUGUCCAAGUCUAAAAUCAUCUAACUAAUGAUAUUUUCACGAAACUCAAAUCAACAACUCAAAUAGAAAUUAAAAAAAAAGAAAAUAAAACAGUGUGAGGCAUUCACCUGUGGAGGAAUGACAGGAAACAGUGAGUCCUGAGUUUUGUUUUCUCCUAGAAACCAUGAUGUUUCUGUAUGAGCAGAAAACUGGUUAUGAAAACACGGUGGUUCAUGCAUAAGACAAUCUUGGAGUGGGACCGUGGUGUUUUGAGGGUGUUUGUUGGUGGGUUAGUGUGCAUAGUAUCAGGUGCCCAUGUCCUCUGUUUGGAACAAGACACCAGUGGGGGUCACAUGAUACAACAUGGCUGAGUGCGCUGUCUGAAGCACUUCAAAUUCCCUUCACAUUUUAUUUUGAAUUGUUAGUUGUUGUGUGCUCAGCAACCUUUUAUUCUUGAUGUGUUCCCCAAAUCCCCACAUUUGUGGGUUCACAAUUCACAGUUUAAGAGGCCGGCUUUCAGACAACCCAAAUGUCCACAGCGAGUGGCUGGAUAAAUGAACCACCAUGCCUGUCCUCUAGUAUACAGGAGCGGCCACGGCUUCCAGGAAUGAUCCAGAAACUCAAAGGAAAAGUGGGGCUAAAAACUAAACCCUGCAGUUAGGACCUAGAAUACAGACUUCAUCUAAAUAAAACUUGUAAGUGCAAAGCAUUUUACAGAGACAGAAAAUAGGUCUGUGGUUGUUUGGGGAUGAUUGGAGCAAGAAGGAGGGAAGACCAUUGAAAACCUUUGGCAUGGAGGGCGUGUUGCCUGUGGAGAUGGUUUCAUAAAACACAACCAUAUAUCAAAACUUUGGUCAAAUUAUAUAUUUUAAAUGUGAGUAGCUUAUAGGUCAGUUUAUACCCCCUCCUUACAAAGUUUCUUUUUGCCCAGAUCAACUGUCUUCCCACAGCUAGAACCGUAAGCCCUGCCCUACUCCCUACUCCCCACCAUUGGUGACAAGAGACCCUUCCUCUUCUGACUUCAGUUUGAAAUCUUCUCACUACUGGCUGGCUGGCUAGCACAGACUGGGGCUAAGAGAAAUGGAGAAGAAACUGACUGGUGUUAUCAUUAAAGCUAUGGGCAGAGGACAAGAAGGAUAGUCACACCCUUCAGCACUCUGGUCCCUGGAUGACAGGCUGUCGUUCUCAGAACAAAGACAUGUUGAAGGGACAAAAUCUUACCUGUGCACUGCAGCCUUUCCCAUGCCUUCCUUUAUUUUAUCUUUAGAUUAGAGCGGAGUGGUGGGGAUUGGCACCUCCAUUCUCCAGCACCGGAUACCGAGCACUCAAAAGAGUAGGUAAUACACCCAUCACACUGGGCUAACUGUCCUCUCAAGUUCUAUCUGUCAACUUGGCUAGGUUUCUUACACAGUGAGUUUUGACUCCAUAUGGUCACGUAACCAAAUGGGGCCACAAGGUUAAUGAGAAUAAAAAAGCUUUUGAAUGCUUGGUAACCAAAAGUUACUUAAAAGUCAAACCUGUGAUGAAUCCCAGGCAUUCCUGACAUCCUGCUCAUCCACGCUGCAUGGAUACUCUACUACAGCCUUGGUUUCCAAAAUUGAGCACGGGCACUUCGCAUGUCCAUAUGUCAUCAUGACAUGUAACGCUAACCCACACUUCUUGAAACUCCUGGCCCAGACCUGAGAAUAUUGUAUAUUGGGAACUGCAGAUGAAUUUUGACAUGAGAUUUGACAGAACAAUUUCUGAAAUGGCCCUAAAUCUACUUCUGCCAUUUUAUUCCACGUAUUUACAAAUCACUGUAUUUUAUCUACAUAUUUAUCUCAACAUUGAUGUUUAUUAAAUCAAAAUAUCAAAAAACUUUGACAGACAUUGAAGAUGGACUAGUCUUGCAAUCUCAAACAUUUGGUCAAGAUUUAAUCCUUUACAUGAAAAUAUUCACAAAAGUCUCAUUAGCAUGCAGAUUUUGUAAUUGUUAAUCAAUUAUAGAAUUAUAUGUGUAUUCAAGAAUUCUCUGAAGAUAUAGUCUUUCCUAUUGGCAAAUGUGCAGGCAAAUGUAUACCUGCUUUAUAUAAAUAUACACCCAAGGUCACAUAAAAAGAAGCUAUGAGUGAAAAAUUAUUUUAUUAUGUGUGUAUACCUUUAAAUGUUAUUUUAACUGAAAAUAACUUUUUUCAUACAAUAUAUAACUUAAAGCCCACUCCACAAGAUAGAACCUAUCCCUGACACAACUUGGGUGACCAAGAACCUGAGACUAGAUACCCCAGGGACCAAGGGUAAAACCAAAUAAUGCUACUUUAAAAAAAUGCAGUGAUAAAAUGAUUUCUAGUGAUAUUCUGCUAGACUCAGAGAUCAGCGCCUUGCUCAGCCAUCACCAGAGAAGCUUCCUCCUGCAGCAGACGGGAGCGAAUACAGAGGCCCACAGCCAGACAUUAUACUGAGAGACUCACUCUGCCCUAACUGGGAUGUCUUCAUCCAAUCCCUUCCUUCAAAGCUCCGGGAACCCCGUGGAAGAGGACGUGGAAGGGUGUAAGAGCCAGAGGGGACGGAGGAGACCAGGAGAACAAGGCCCUCUAAAUCAACGUGAUCCAAGCUCAUGUGAACUCAGAGGCUGCAGCAGCAUGCACGGGGCCUGCACAGGUCUGCAUGACAUCCUUUGUGUAUGUAGUGUGGUUUCCAGUUUAGUGUUUUUGUGGGAUUUCUGGAUGUACAAAUGGGUGUGUCUCUGUGGGAUUUCUGGAUGCACAAAUGAGUGUGUCUCUGGCUCCUGUGCUUUUUCUUGGACUCUAUUCCUUCUGUUUGCCUGUCUUGUCCAACUUCAAUGUAAUAGUUUUUGUUUUAUCUUAUUAUAGGCUAUACUACUAUAUAUAUUUAAAUGAAUGAAUGAAUGAAUGAAUGAAUGAAUGAAUAAAAACCAAGCUACUAUGGUAAGGGUUAACAACCGAACUGAACCUGUACACGUCGGGAGAAGGAAAAUCAGUUUUCUCCAAUAGAGUGACACUGGAUACAUCAACCACUCCAUGAAAAGUCUAAUGUUCAAGAGUAGUUGACCAACAUAGAAUUGGACUCCAUAGUUUUUUCUUGUGUGUGAUAUUAUUUGGUUAGAGUUUGGAGAUUUGCUUUUUUUUUUUUUUUUUUUUAGUUUUGGGGUGUGGCUUUUUAUUUUGUUUUCUGGGCAAACCUUUUUUUUGUUUUAUUUUUGUUUUUUUUGGGUUUUGGGGGGCAAUGUUGUAUGGGGUUUUUGGUUGAUUUUUGGGAAAGAACUUAAAGUUGGGUGAGUAAGGAAAAGGAGAGGAUCUGGGAGAAGUUGAGGAAGGGGACAAAUAUGAUCAAAAUAUAUGUAAAUUUAAAAAUGUUUUAAACAGUAAAAAAUGUAAAAACAAAAAAUGAUUUUUGUACACUAUUUUCUGAUCAUGGCUCCCCUCCCCCACAUCCUCCCAGAUUCUCCCCACCUCUCACCUACCCAGCUCUGCCACUUCUCUCUCAGAAAACAAACAGGUAUAUUAGAAAAACAAAAAAGAAACAAAUAUGAAUUUAAAACCCCAGCAAC
rnacentral:lncRNA from 1 species